rnacentral:lncRNA from 1 species
GUUUAUCACGCCACUCACAGAUUGGUCCCGUCGCUCGGUCAGUCUUUUAUUUAUGAGCUUUGUAGCCACUAAUAUUUCUGCGACAUUCUUUAAAAAAGUCUGAAUUACGAACUUGCGCUUUGCACAUUCUGUAAAAAACUUAGUCAACCUUAAAGAUUCCCUGUUUAAAUAUCCUUGUGAUGCACUUUAUUCAUCACAUGACGUCACGUGAAUCAAGUAUGCUUAAAUAUGUGGAAUAAAUAUGCGGGAGGUUUGCAUGCAUUUUCACAAUAAUAAAUCUCAUUCGCCAGUGUUCGUACUGUAUGUGAACAUCACUCGCAAUUAUUGAGUCCCAUCUGGCUGAAUAAACUUCAGUUGCACUCAACUCUAGAUGCUCUGACUACUUGCACACGUACAGUAAAGACAGGAGAUGUUAACGUUACGCGAAAUAAUAAAGCUUAUAUCUCGUGAAGAACUUUGGUAUAACUAUUUAAAACAUGUUGUAGGCUAAAUUUGACGGAAAGCGCUUGCAAUAUCGAUGCUUUAAACAGUAUUCGCUUACAUAAAUCCUGACUGCUGCGAGGAUUUAGUAGUUUAGCCGAGAAAACGUCAAAACAUGUUACAAUGUUACGCAAAGGAUGUUACUAAAUGAUACAUUGUUGAUUGAAUUAUUAUACACGGUUGUAAUUUAUAUCGUUGAUGUUCUUGCUUUCUUGUUUUUUUUUUUUUCUUUUCUUUUAAUUGCUUUAAAGUGCAUGCACUUCAUGCACAGCACAGGGGUCCUGUUAUGUGAAACAUCGCUUGUCACAAUUUUGCAAGUUUUAGACAAGUUUUAAACGCUUUGCAUUUGCAAUACCUCAUACAUAGAGGACCGCUCUGUUCUCCAGCGAUAUAAUGAUAAAAUAAUAUUAAGACAUCUUACCGUAAUUACGACAUCGAAUUGUGACAGUUAUCUCUACUGCUGGUCAUUAGUAAUCCAAUGCACAAAACGGAGAGAAUGACACCAAACAGUGGCGUUAAGUUGUGUUUAGAAGUAUUCCCAGUGUUGCGACUGCUUGCAUGUACUAGUUUCAGUUGUGACAGCUGAACGCACCGCACACUGCCGCGCGCAUGACGCGAGAUCCUUAACGACAGCGCAUUACGCGUUCAGCGGUCAUCAGCGACUUCACCGAGACGUCCUGUCGUUUGUUUUCUGUUUACGCGCACAUUGCUACUAGAUUGUUGAAGGCGCCCAACUGAAGACUAAUACAAACAGCGGAGGACUCAGACAGACUCGCGUAGCGACGUCACUGUGUGCACAUGGACCCUCCUACUGCAAUGAGAGCUCGAGUGGGAGGGGGCGAUGGGUGCGCUCAGGUAUAUACGGUUCUCCGUCCAGAAGUAGGGCAAGGUAGUUUGAUUACGGAGACGCUAACCUGUGCAUCUAGGACAAAUGGAUGUUCAAACAUUAAAGUCCGUGACCUUACUUGUGAAAUGUUACUCGGUGGUAUAUAAAACUAGAUCGUUUAAUCGUGAUUUAGUUUAAUUAAGCCAUGCACUGUGUAAUCACAAACCUAUUAAACAAACUCCUAAUGCAGAAUAAUAAAAAGGUGUACAUAUUUAAAGGCUAGGAAUGCAACUAUAAAUGUUGUCAUCUGCACAAACGGAGCACUAAC